AGUAAUGCAUAGGAAUUUGCCUUGAAGUGGGGGAUAGCCCGGAGAAAUCCGGAUUAAUACCGCAUAUGCUCUACGGAGCAAAGUGGGCCUCUGAUUUAAGCUCAUGCUUUGAGAUAAGCCUAUGUCGGAUUAGCUUGUUGGUGGGGUAAAAGCCUACCAAGGCGACGGUCCGUAGCUGGUUUGAGAGGAUGAUCAGCCACACUGGGACUGAGACACGGCCCAG
rnacentral:rRNA from 1 species